rnacentral:rRNA from 1 species
GAUGAACGCUGGCGGCGUGCCUAAUACAUGCAAGUCGAGCGAACGGACGAGAAGCUUGCUUUUCUGAUGUUAGCGGCGGACGGGUGAGUAACACGUGGAUAACCUACCUAUAAGACUGGGAUAACUUCGGGAAACCGGAGCUAAUACCGGAUAAUAUUUUGAACCGCAUGGUUCAAAAGUGAAAGACGGUCUUGCUGUCACUUAUAGAUGGAUCCGCGCUGCAUUAGCUAGUUGGUAAGGUAUCGGCUUACCAAGGCAACGAUGCAUAGCCGACCUGAGAGGGUGAUCGGCCACACUGGAACUGAGACACGGUCCAGACUCCUACGGGAGGCAGCAGUAGGGAAUCUUCCGCAAUGGGCGAAAGCCUGACGGAGCAACGCCGCGUGAGUGAUGAAGGUCUUCGGAUCGUAAAACUCUGUUAUUAGGGAAGAACAUAUGUGUAAGUAACUGUGCACAUCUUGACGGUACCUAAUCAGAAAGCCACGGCUAACUACGUG